UGGUGGAUACCAUUUGCUUGCGUGAGAUGUAUGCUAAAUUGAUGAUGCCUGAUCUUACAAAUUGGGUGUGGAUAAAUCAGGUGGGGGUAAAUGCUGAGUUUGUUUUCUUGAGGAUGGGUCGAUGCCUAGUCUAUGUGGGUAUCAAGUGCAGGAAGUUGUGUAAAGUCUAUGAGAUGACAAGCGAGGAUCGAUGGUUGGGUCGUGUCCAUCCUUGGAUGAUGAUUUGGCCUCCCACAUUCCCUGCGCUCAAGGAUGGUCCUGCAAGGUUUGUCUUUUGGCCUUUGGGUGAUGUUAUUGUAUUUUGUUUUUGUGUGGUCGCAUUAGAAGCAUACAUGUGUUGGAAAUAUGCCCUAGAGGCAAUAAUAAAUUGGUUAUUAUUAUUAUAUUUCCUUGUUCAUGAUAAUCGUUUAUUAUCCAUGCUAUAAUUGUAUUGAUAGGAAACUCAGAUACAUGUGUGGGUACAUAGACAACACCAUGUCCCUAGUAAGCCUCUAGUUGACUAGCUCGUUGAUCAACAGAUGGUUACGGUUUCCUGACCAUGGACAUUGGAUGUCGUUGAUAACAGGAUCACAUCAUUAGGAGAAUGAUGUGAUGGACAAGACCCAAUCCUAAGCCUAGCACAAAGAUCGUAGUUCGUAUGCUAAAGCUUUUCUAAUGGCAAGUAUCAUUUCCUUAGACCAUGAGAUUGUGCAACUCCCGGAUACCGUAGGAAUGCUUUGGGUGUACCAAACGUCACAACGUAACUGGGUGACUAUAAAGGUGCACUACAGGUAUCUCCGAAAGUGUCUGUUGGGUUGGCACGAAUUGAGACUAGGAUUGGUCACUCCGUGUAAACGGAGAGGUAUCUCUGGGCCCACUCGGUAGGACAUCAUCAUAAUGUGCACAAUGUGACCAAGGGGUUGAUCACGGGAUGAUGUGUUACGGAACGAGUAAAGAGACUUGUUGGUAACGAGAUUGAACAAGGUAUUGGCAUACCAACGAUCGAAUCUCGGGCAAGUACCAUACCGCUAGACAAAAGGAAUUGUAUACGAGAUCGAUUGAGUCCUUGACAUCAUGGUUCAUCCGAUGAGAUCAUCGUGGAACAUGUGGGAGCCAACAUGGGUAUCCAGAUCCCGCUGUUGGUUAUUGACCGGAGAACGUCUCGGUCAUGUCUGCAUGGUUCCCGAACCCGUAGGGUCUACACACUUAAGGUUCGAUGACGCUAGGGUUAUAAAGGAAGUUUGUAUGUGGUUACCGAAUGUUGUUCGGAGUCCCGGAUGAGAUCCCGGACGUCACGAGGAGUUCCGGAAUGGUCCGGAGGUAAAGAUUUAUAUAUGGGAAGUCCUGUUUUGGUCACCUGAAAAGUUUCGGGUUUUUCCGGUAACGUACCGGGACCACCGGAGGGUCCCGGGGGUCCACCAAGUGGGGCCACCAACCCCGGAGGGCUGCAUGGGCCAAGUGUGGGAGGGGAACAGCCCCAGGUGGGCUAGUGCGCCCCCCCCACAGGGCCCAAGGCGCAGGGAAGUGGGGGAGGGGGCAAACCCUAGGGAAGAUGGGCCCUAAGGCCCACCCUAGGUGCGCCUCCCCCCUCUCCCCUUCUAGCCGCCACCCAGAUGGGAUCUGGGGGCUGCCGCCACCCCUGGGAGGGAACCCUAGAGGGGGCGCAGCCCCCUUCCCUCCCCCUAUAAAUACUUGAGGUGUGGGGGCUGCCCAACACACGAGAACUUCUCCCUAUUGGCGCAGCCCUACCUCUCUUACUCCUCCUCUCCCGCGGUGCUUGGCGAAGCCCUGCAGGAUUGCCAUGCUCCUCCAUCACCACCACGCCAUUGUGUUGCUGCUGGACGGAGUCUUCGUCAACCUCUCCCUCUCUCCUUGCUGGAUCAAGGCGUGGGAGACGUCACCGGGCUGUACGUGUGUUGAACGCGGAGGUGUCGUCCGUUCGGCACUAGGAUCUCCGGUGAUUUGGAUCACGACGAGUAUGACUCCUUCAACCCCGUUCUCUUGAACACUUCUGCUUAGCGAUCUACAAGGGUAUGUAGAUGCACUCUCCUUCCCCUCGUUGCUGGUUUCUCCAUAGAUAGAUCUUGGUGACACGUAGGAAAAUUUUGAAUUUCUGCUACGUUCCCCAACAGUGGCAUCAUGAGCUAGGUCUAUUGCGUAGAUUCUUUGCAUGAGUAGAACACAAAGUAGUUGUGGGCGUUGAUUUUGUUCAAUAUGCUUACCGUUACUAGUCCAAUCUUGUUUCGACGGUAUUGUGGAUGAAGCGGCCGGACCGACCUUACACGUACACUUACGUGAGACAGGUUCCACCGACUGACAUGCACUUGGUGCAUAAGGUGGCUAGCGGGUGCCAGUCUCUCCCACUUUAGUCGGAACGGGUUCGAUGAAAAGGGUCCUUAAGAAGGGUAAAUAGCAAUUGGCAUAUCACAUUGUGGUUUUGCGUAGGUAAGAAACGUUCUUGCUAGAAACCCAUAGCAGCCACGUAAAACAUGCAAACAACAAUUAGAGGACGUCUAACUUGUUUUUGCAGGGUAUGCUAUGUGAUGUGAUAUGGCCAAGAAGAAUGUGAUGAAUGAUAUGUGAUGUAUGAGAUUGAUCAUGUUCUUGUAACAGGAAUCACGACUUGCAUGUCGAUGAGUAUGACAACCGGCAGGAGCCAUAGGAGUUGUCUUUAUUUAUUGUAUGACCUGCGUGUCAUUAAACAACACCAUGUGAUUACUUUAAUUUAUUGCUAACCGGUAGCCAUAGUAGUAGAAGUAAUAGUUGGCAAGACAACUUCAUGAAGACACGAUGAUGGAGAUCAUGAUGAUGGAGAUCAUGGUGUCAUGCCGGUGACGAUGAUGAUCAUGGAGCCCCGAAGAUGGAGAUCAAAAGGAGCAAAAUGAUAUUGGCCAUAUCAUGUCACUAUUUGAUUGCAUGUGAUGUUUAUCAUGUUUAUGCAUCUUAUUUGCUUAGAACGACGGUAGUAAAUAAGAUGAUCCCUCAUUAAAAUUUCAAGAAAGUGUUCCCCCUAACUGUGCACCGUUGCGAAAGUUCGUCGUUUCAAAGCACCACGUGAUGAUCGGGUGUGAUAGAUUCUUACGUUCACAUACAACAGGUGUAAGCCAGAUUUACACACGCGAAACACUUAGGUUAACUUGACGAGCCUAGCAUGUACAGACAUGGCCUCGGAACAGAAGAGAUCGAAAGGUCGAGCAUGAGUCGUAUGGUAGAUACGAUCAACAUGAAGAUGUUCACCGAUGAUGACUAGUCCGUCUCACGUGAUGAUCGGACACGGCCUAGUUGACUCGGAUCAUGUAAUCACUUAGAUGACUAGAGGGAUGUCUAUCUGAGUGGGAGUUCAUAAGAUGAACUUAAUUAUCCUGAACAUAGUCAAAAUAUCUUUGCAAAUUAUGUCGUAAGCUCGCGCUUUAGUUCCACUGUUUAGAUAUGUUCCUAGAGAAAAAAUAUAGUUGAAAGUUGACAGUAGCGAUUAUGAGGACAGUAGAAAGCUUAUGUCCUUAAUGCACCACUCAGUGUGCUGAACCCCAAACGUCGUCCGUGGAUGUUGCGAACAUCGUACAUACACGUUUUGAUAACUACGUCAUAGUUCAGUUAAACGGUUUAGAGUUGAGGCACCAAAGACGUUUUCGAAACGUUGCGGAACAUAUGAGAUGUUUCGAGGGCUGAAAUUGGGGUUUCAGGCUCGUGCCCACGUCAAGAGGUAUAAGACCUCCGACGAUUUUCUUAGCCUGCAAACUAAGGGAGAAAAGCUCAAUCGUUGAGCUUGUGCUCAGAUUGUCUGAGUGCAACAAAUCACUUGAAUCAAGUGGGAGUUGAUCAUCGAGAGAUAGUGAUGUUUCUCCAAAGUCAUUGCCACCAAGCUGCUAGAGCUUCGUGAUGAACUAUAACAUAUCAAGGAUAGAUAUGAUGAUCCUUGAGGUAUUCGCGAUGUUUGACACCACGAAAGUAGAAAUCAAGAAGGAGCAUCAAUUUUUGAUGGUUAGUGAAACCACUAGUUUCAAGAAGCGCAAGGGCAAGAAGGGGCCCUUCAUGAAACGGCAAAUCAGUUGCUGCUCCAGUGAAGAAACCCAAGGUUGAACCCAAACCCGAAACUAAGUGCUUCUGUAAUAAGGGGAACAGCCACUGGGGCAGAAUUACCCUAGAUACUUGGUAGAUAAGAAGGCUGGCAAGGUCGAUAGAAGUAUAUUGGAUAUACAUUAUGUUAAUGUGUACUUUACUAGUACUCCUAGUAGCACCAGGGUAUUAGAUACCGGUUCUGUUACUAAGUGUUAGUAACUCGAAAUAAAAGCUACGGAACAAACGGAGACUAGCUAAAGGUGAGCUGACGAUAUGUGUUGGAAGUGUUUCCAAGGUUGAUGUGAUCAAGCAUCGCACGCUCCCUCUACCAUCGAGAUUUGGUGUUUGCGUUGAGCAUAGACAUGAUUGGAUUAUGUCUAUCGCAGUACGGUUAUUCAUUUAAGGAGAAUAAUGGUUACUCUGUUUAUUUGAAUAAUACCUUCAAUGGUCUUGCACGUAAAAUGAAUGGUUUAUUGAAAUCUCGAUCGUAGUGAUACACAUUUUCAUGCCAAAAGAUAUAAGGUAGUAAUGAUAGUACCACUCACUUGUGGCACUGCCAUGUAAGUCAUAUUGGUGUAAAACGCAUGAAGAAGCUCCAUGUUGAUGGAUCUUUGGACUCACUCGUUUUUGAAAAGUUUGAGACAUGCGAACCGUGUCUAUUGGUGUAUACGCAUGAAGAAACUCCAUGCAGAUGGAUCGUUUGGACUCAUUUGAUUUUGAAUCACUUGAGACAUGCAAAUCAUACCACAUGGGCAAGAUGACUGAAAGCCUCGUUUUCAUUAAGAUGGAACGAGAUAGCAACUUGUUGGAAGUAACACAUUUUGAUGUGUGCAGUCCAAUGAGUGCUGAGGCAUGCAGUGAAUAUCGUUAUGUUCUUACUUCACAAAUGAUUUAAGUAGAUACUGAGUAUAUUUACUUGAUGAAACACAAGUCUGAAUUAUUGAAUGGUUCAUGUAAUUUUAGAGUGAAGUUGAAGAUCUUCGUGACAAGAGGAUAAAAUGUCUAUGAUAUGAUCAUAGAGAUGAGUAUCUGAGUUACAAGCUUUGGCACGCAAUUAAGACAUUGUGGAAAUUGUUUCACAAUUAAUACCGCCUGGAACACCAUAGUGUGAUGGUGUGUCCGAACAUCAUAGUUGCACCCUAUUGGAUAUGGUGCGUACCAUGAUAUCUCUUAUCGAAUUACCACUAUCGUUCAUGGGUUAGGCAUUAGAGACAACCACACUCACUUUAAAUAGGGCACCAUGUAAUUCCGUUGAGAUGACACCGUAUGAACUAUGGUUUAGAGAAACCUAAGCUGUCAUUUCUUAAAAGUUUGGGGCUGCGACGCUUAUGUGAAAAAGUUUCAGGUUGAUAAGCUCGAACCCAAAGCGGAUAAAACGCAUCUUCAUAGGACCCCAAAACAGUUGGGUAUACCUCCUAAUUCAGAUCCGAAAGCAAUAGGGAUUGUUUCUUGAAUCGGGUCCUUUCUUGAGGAAAGGUUUCUCUCGAAAGAAUUGAGUGGGAGGAUGGUGGAGACUUGAUGAGGUUAUUGAACCGUCACUUCAACAAGUGUGUAGCAGGGCACAUGAAGUUGUUCCUGUGGCACCUACACCAAUUGAAGUGGAAGCUUAUGAUAGUGAUCAUGAAGCUUCGGAUCAAGUCACUGCCGAACCUCGUAGGACGACAAGGACGCGUACUGCUUCAGAGUGGUACGGUGAUCCUGUCUUGAAGGUCAUGUUGCUAGACAACAAUGAACCUACAAGCUAUGGAGAAGCGAUGGUGGGCCCAAAUUCCGACAAAUGGUUAGAAGCCAUGAAAUCCGAGAUAGGAUCCAUGUAUCAGAACAAAAGCAUGGACUUUGGUGGACUUGCCCGAUGAUCGGCAAGCCAUUGAGAUAAAUGGAUCUUUAAGAAGAAGACGGACGUGGACGGUAAUGUCACCGUCUAUGAAGCUCGACUUGUGGCGAAGAGUUUUUCACAAGUUCAAGGAGUUGACUACGAUGAGAUUUUCUCAUCCGUAGCGAUGAUUAAGUCCGUUGGAAUCAUGUUAGCAUUAGCUGCAUUUAUGAAAUCUGGCAGAUGGAUGUCAAGACGAGUUUCCUUACCAGUUUUCGUAAGGAAAGAUUGUAUGUGAUACAAUCAGAAAAGUUUUGUCGAUCCUAAGGAUGCUAAAAGGCAUGCUAGCUCCAGCGAUCCUUCUAAGGACUAGAGUAAGCAUCUCGGAGUUGGAAUGUGCGCUUUGAUGAGAUGAUCAAAGAUUUUGGGUUUAUACAAAGUUCAUGAGAAACUUGUAUUUCCAAAGAAGUGAGUGGGAGCAUUAUAGAAUUUCUGAUGAGUAUAUGUUGUUGACAUAUUGUUGAUCGGAAAUGAUGUAGAAUUUUUGGAAAGCAUAUAGGGUUAUUUGAAAAGUGUUUUUCAAUGGAAGACCUGGAUUGAGCUACUUGAACAUUGAGCAUCAAGAUCUAUGAGGAUAGAUCAAAAAUGCUUAAUAGUACUUUCAAAUGAGCACAUACCUUGACAUGAUCUUGAAGGUGUUCAAGAUGGAUCAGUCAAAGAAGGAGUUCUUGCCUGAGUUAUAAGGUAUGAAGUUAAGAGUUAAAGCUCGACCACGGCAGAAGAGAGACAAAGGACGAAGGUCGUCCCCUAUGCUUCAAACAUAGGGUCUAUAGUAUGCUAUGCUGUGUACCGCACCGAAGUGUGCCUUGCCAUGAGUCAGUCAAGGGGUACAAGAAUGAUCCAGAAAUGGGGAUCAUUGGACAGCCGUCAAAAAUUGUCCUUGGAGUAAAUAAGGACAUGUUUCUCGAUUAUGGAGGUGAUAAAGAGUUCGGCGUAAAGGGUUACAUUGAUGCAAGCUUUAACACCUAUCCGAAUGACUCUGAGUAGCAAACCGGAUACGUAUAGUGGAGCAACCAUUUGGAAUAGUUCCAAGUGGAGCGUGGAAGCAGCAUUUACAAUAUGACAUAGAGAAUUGCAAAGUACGUACAGGUCUGAAUGUUGCAGACCCGUUGACUAAAACCUCUCUCACAAGCAAAACAUGAUCAAACCCCAGAACUCAUUGAGUCUUAAUCACAUGAUGAUGUGAACUAGUUUAGCGACACUAGUAAACUCUUUGGAUGUUGGUCACAUGACGAUGUGACGAGUGUUAAUCACAUGGCGAUGUGAACUAGAUUAUUGACUAGUGCAAGUGGGAGACUGUUGGAAAUAUGCCCUAGAGGCAAUAAUAAAUUGGUUAUUAUUAUUAUAUUUCCUUGUUCAUGAUAAUCGUUUAUUAUCCAUGCUAUAAUUGCAUUGAUAGGAAACUCAGAUACAUGUGUGGGUACAUAGACAACACCAUGUCCCUAGUAAGCCUCUAGUUGACUAGCUCGUUGAUCAACAGAUGGUUACGGUUUCCUGACCAUGGACAUUGGAUGUCGUUGAUAACGGGAUCACAUCAUUAGGAGAAUGAUGUGAUGGACAAGACCCAAUCCUAAGCCUAGCAUAAAGAUCGUAGUUCGUAUGCUAAAGCUUUUCUAAUGUCAAAUAUCAUUUCCUUAGACCAUGAGAUUGCGCAACUCCCGGAUACCGUAGGAAUGCUUUGGGUGUACCAAACGUCACAACGUAACUGGGUGACUAUAAAGGUGCACUACAGGUAUCUCCGAAAGUGUCUGUUGGGUUGGCACGAAUCGAGACUGGGAUUUGUCACUCCGUGUAAACGGAGAGGUAUCUCUGGGCCCACUCGGUAGGACAUCAUCAUAAUGUGCACAAUGUGACCAAGGGGUUGAUCACGGGAUGAUGUGUUACGGAACGAGUAAAGAGACUUGCCGGUAACGAGAUUGAACAAGGUAUCGGCAUACCGACGAUCGAAUCUCGGGCAAGUACAAUACCGCUAGACAAAAGGAAUUGUAUACGGGAUCGAUUGAGUCCUUGACAUCGUGGUUCAUCCGAUGAGAUCAUCGUGGAACAUGUGGGAGCCAACAUGGGUAUCCAGAUCCCGCUGUUGGUUAUUGACCGGAGAACGUCUCGGUCAUGUCUGCAUGGUUCCCGAACCUGUAGGGUCUACACACUUAAGGUUCGAUGACGCUAGGGUUAUAAAGGAAGUUUGUAUGUGGUUACCGAAUAUUGUUCGGAGUCCCGGAUGAGAUCCCGGACGCCACGAGGAGUUCCGGAAUGGUCCGAAGGUAAAGAUUUAUAUAUGGGAAGUCCUGUUUUGGUCACUGGAAAAGUUUCGGGUUUUUCCGGUAAGGUACCGGGACCACCGGGAGGGUCCCGGGGGUCCACCAAGUGGGGCCACCAACCCCGGAGGGCUGCAUGGGCCAACUGUGGGAGGGGACCAGCCCCAGGUGGGCUGGUGCGCCCCCCCCCCCAGGGCCCAAGGCGCAGGGAAGUGGGGGAGGGGGCAAACCCUAGGGCAGAUGGGCCCUAAGGCCCACCCUAGGUGCGCCUCCCCCCUCCCCCCUUCUGGCCGCCACCCAGAUGGGAUCUGGGGGCUGCCGCCACCCCUGGGAGGGAACCCUAGAGGGGGCGCAGCCCCCUCCCCUCCCCCUAUAAAUACUUGAGGUGUUGGGGCUGCCCAACACACAAGAACAUCUCCCUAUUGGCGCAGCCCUACCUCUCUUACUCCUCCUCUCCCGCAGUGCUUGGCGAAGCCCUGCAGGAUUGCCACGCUCCUCCAUCACCACCACGCCGUUGUGCUGCUGCUGGACGGAGUCUUCCUCAACCUCUCCCUCUCUCCUUGCUGGAUCAAGGCGUGGGAGACGUCACCGGGCUGUACGUGUGUUGAACGCGGAGGUGCCGUCCGUUCGGCACUAGGAUCUCCGGUGAUUUGGAUCACGACGAGUACGACUCCUUCAACCCCGUUCUCUUGAACGCUUACGCUUAGCGAUCUACAAGGGUAUGUAGAUGCACUCUCCUUCCCCUCAUUGCUGGUUUCUCCAUAGAUAGAUCUUGGUGACACGUAGGAAAAUUUUGAAUUUCUUCUACGUUCCCCAACAAUAUGAAACAUUUAUAAUAGGAGGAUGAGGGUGUCCCCUGUGUAUGGGUGCUUGAUCGGCAUGCUGGAAAGGAAAAUGGAGGAACUGGGAAUAAGUAUGCAAAUUUAGAGGAAUGGGGGUUUGCUUCUGAACUGUGAUCCUCAAGAUAUCAUGUUCAGAUUGUUAAUGCUGAUUGUUUUCGAAAUGUUGUCGUAUAAUAGACUUAAGGGGUUUUCUUGGAAGCAUUCUUGUGUUUAUGCAUCAAACGUUUUACACUGGCAUGCUUGUGUUUAUGCAUCUCUUCUGAUUGAGAUGUAUCGCUACGAACUUCUUGCUCUUAUAUGACAAGGGUAUAACGAUAUAAUCUAACAACUUGAUGUUCCUUUCACCCUCCUCCAUGGCCAUGCUGUAUGUUUUAGUUGGCAUUCAAUCUGUUUUUCUGGAAGAGUUCUUAUCAUUUUGACUUUUUCUUUCCGCGCGAUAAUCAUCUGACCUCGUUCUACAACCAGAUGUCUUUUCACUUGUUUUGAUCUUGUCACUGUUAAUUAUCGCCAUCCUUAUUAUUGGUCUGCUUUGCUUGGAACAGCGAUGCCAUGUGAAGACGGGGAAGGCCUUGGAUCAAAGAAGAGCGAACUGCGGCUGGUGGUGCGGUAGCCAAAACCCCUCGUCUUAGAGAAGCGAUUGCAUUAUCUAUUAGUUGUGUUUUGAGUCGGAGACAAGUUAUUGCUUGGUAAUGGAUUGGUAUGGUGGAUAAAACUGGAUCGGGUGCUCUAUUAUUGUUCCGAAUAGACAUGUAUGUUUGUUUAGAACAAGUUGUGUAUUUUUUUUUUUUACUUUCCAGUGUGUUGUCCAUUGCAAAACCUGUGCUCGACUCCGUUAGCAACGUGCCUGUGGUAUCGAUCUGCUGAUCAUAUUGAGGCAUUAGCAUUUGUUGCCAGGAGUAAGAAUAAGACAUUUAUUUUGAACAGUCAUCUAUAUGUUUGUGUUGCCCGUUGAGUAACAAGAAGAUACUUAUGGAAUUACAGAAGCACAACAUCAAUAUUGAAUGACCGUCAAGAAGAUAGUUAUAGAUUACAUGGUUGUAAUCCUUUGUCGUUCUUUACUAGAUGGUGUCUAUAUAUAAGCCCCCCCUGUUUUUCAAAACAGAAAAAGAUUUUGAUCUGGACACUGAAUUUCUGUUACCUUGUUGCAUAACAGAACGUCUUGCUUUAUUAUCAUAUUGGAUUUGUUAUUUAUCUCGAUCAGCUGAGAAUUAACUAAAUCUCAAUCAAUUCC
rnacentral:lncRNA from 1 species